CCUAACCCUUUGGCCGUCGGUCCGGCGAUCAGCAUCCAUUCUGUCCGCCGGCAAAAGGGAAUACGGUGCGCCCAUCGGGCAAACCCGGAGCUGCCCCCGCAACUGUGAGCGGUGAGCGACGCUGAACAUGCCACUGGUACGGGAUACCCGCACCGGGAAGGCCAGCCGAGCCACGACCCGCAAGCCAGGAGACCUGCCGACGCAUUCACCCAUAC
rnacentral:ncRNA from 2 species